rnacentral:rRNA from 1 species
GAUGAACGAUGGCGGCGUGCCUAAUACAUGCAAGUCGAGCGAACGGACGGGAAGCUUGCUUCUCUGAUGUUAGAGGCGGACGGGUGAGUAACACGUGGAUAACCUACCUAUAAGACUGGGAUAACUUCGGGAAACCGGAGCUAAUACCGGAUAAUAUUUUGAACAGCAUGGUUCAAAAGUGAAAGACGGUCUUGCUGUCACUUAUAGAUGGAUCCGCGCUGCAUUAGCUAGUUGGUAAGGUAACGGCUUACCAAGGCAACGAUGCAUAGCCGACCUGAGAGGGUGAUCGGCCACACUGGAACUGAGACACGGUCCAGACUCCUACGGGAGGCAGCAGUAGGGAAUCUUCCGCAAUGGGCGAAAGCCUGACGGAGCAACGCCGCGUGAGUGAUGAAGGUCUUCGGAUCGUAAAACUCUGUUAUUAGGGAAGAACAUAUGUGUAAGUAACUGUGCACAUCUUGACGGUACCUAAUCAGAAAGCCACGGCUAACUACGUG